AUUUUGUCUCUUCUCCAAAAGCAAGAAACCCUAUCGUUCCAUUCCAAAACCCCCCAAUUAGCUCAAACCCUAUCAACUCUCUUUUGCUCUCAUCGGAAUAUAAGUUUGAAGACAUGUUAGAGGAAGUCCAGAAAAUUGAGCAAGUUGAAGAAGGUAUAUAUAUAUCCCCGGUGGUGUUUUUGGGCGCAGAGGCGAGGCUAUUGUGGGAACUUUAUAGUGAGCUGCAUUCCAUGUUACGAUCUGUAACAUACAGAGUCUCCAUCAAAGUUACUUACAUUCUCCUGUCUAACAUGUAUGCUAGACAGAUGUUGUAUUUUAUUAUAUUUCUUGGUAAAUUCUCAUACACCUGUGACA